UACGGGGGGGGCAAGCGUUGUUCGGAAUUACUGGGCGUAAAGGGCUCGUAGGCGGCCAACUAAGUCAUACGUGAAAUCCCUCGGCUUAACCGGGGAACUGCGUCUGAUACUGGAUGGCUUGAGAUUGGGAGAGGGAUGCGGAAUUCCAGGUGUAGCGGUGAAAUGCGUAGAUAUCGGGAGGAACACCAGUGGCGAAGGCGACUUUCUGGCCUGUUCUGGACGCUGAGGCGCGAAAGCUAGGGGAGCAAACGGG
rnacentral:rRNA from 1 species